UGAAAGUUUGUCGACAUUGGGAAAGCUAGAAACCUUGAACCUUGGCUAUAACAGUUUCAACCAGACAAUCAUACGACAACUGAGCACAUUGACAUCUCUUAAAAAUCUUAUUCUAGAUAAUAAUAUCAAUUUUGAAGGAUCUUUUCCAGCUCAAGAAUUAUCCGCUUUGAAAAACUUGGUGACGCUAGAUUUGAGUUGGGAUAAACUUAAUACCUUGAAAAUUGAAGGUGGUAAAGGACUGGUGAAGUUGAACAAGCUGGAGCAUCUAGAUCUAAGCUCCAACAAUUUAACCGACACGCAUAUCUUAGAGUUUUUGGCUACCCUGCCAGCCCUCAAAUCUCUAUCCCUGGCCGACAACUACAUGGAACAACCACUUUCCGACCAAGGUAUGUGAAAAUAGAAAACAAUGGAUUGGUAAACAUUCAUAGUAUAAUGCAAGAUGGUUUGGGUUCAUACAAAUUCAUUUGAAUCAAUUAGGCUUUGUUUGGAUAAUUGCAUAAGGUUAUACUUUUUAACUUGAAGCAUCCAUUCAAUAAGUAAAAUGAGAACAAAGCUAGGAAACAAUG